rnacentral:rRNA from 1 species
AGCGUACACGGUGGAUGCCCUGGCAGUCAGAGGCGAUGAAGGACGUGCUAAUCUGCGAUAAGCGUCGGUGAGGUGAUAUGAACCGUUAUAACCGGCGAUUUCCGAAUGGGGAAACCCAGUGUGUUUCGACACACUAUCAUUAACUGAAUCCAUAGGUUAAUGAGGCGAACCGGGGGAACUGAAACAUCUAAGUACCCCGAGGAAAAGAAAUCAACCGAGAUUCCCCCAGUAGCGGCGAGCGAACGGGGAGGAGCCCAGAGCCUGAAUCAGUGUGUGUGUUAGUGGAAGCGUCUGGAAAGGCGUGCGAUACAGGGUGACAGCCCCGUACACAAAAAUGCACAUGCUGUGAGCUCGAUGAGUAGGGCGGGACACGUGGUAUCCUGUCUGAAUAUGGGGGGACCAUCCUCCAAGGCUAAAUACUCCUGACUGACCGAUAGUGAACCAGUACCGUGAGGGAAAGGCGAAAAGAACCCCGGCGAGGGGAGUGAAAAAGAACCUGAAACCGUGUACGUACAAGCAGUGGGAGCCUCUUAAUGGGGUGACUGCGUACCUUUUGUAUAAUGGGUCAGCGACUUAUAUUCUGUAGCAAGGUUAACCGAAUAGGGGAGCCGAAGGGAAACCGAGUCUUAACUGGGCGUUAAGUUGCAGGGUAUAGACCCGAAACCCGGUGAUCUAGCCAUGGGCAGGUUGAAGGUUGGGUAACACUAACUGGAGGACCGAACCGACUAAUGUUGAAAAAUUAGCGGAUGACUUGUGGCUGGGGGUGAAAGGCCAAUCAAACCGGGAGAUAGCUGGUUCUCCCCGAAAGCUAUUUAGGUAGCGCCUCGUGAAUUCAUCUCCGGGGGUAGAGCACUGUUUCGGCAAGGGGGUCAUCCCGACUUACCAACCCGAUGCAAACUGCGAAUACCGGAGAAUGUUAUCACGGGAGACACACGGCGGGUGCUAACGUCCGUCGUGAAGAGGGAAACAACCCAGACCGCCAGCUAAGGUCCCAAAGUCAUGGUUAAGUGGGAAACGAUGUGGGAAGGCCCAGACAGCCAGGAUGUUGGCUUAGAAGCAGCCAUCAUUUAAAGAAAGCGUAAUAGCUCACUGGUCGAGUCGGCCUGCGCGGAAGAUGUAACGGGGCUAAACCAUGCACCGAAGCUGCGGCAGCGACACUAUGUGUUGUUGGGUAGGGGAGCGUUCUGUAAGCCUGCGAAGGUGUACUGUGAGGUAUGCUGGAGGUAUCAGAAGUGCGAAUGCUGACAUAAGUAACGAUAAAGCGGGUGAAAAGCCCGCUCGCCGGAAGACCAAGGGUUCCUGUCCAACGUUAAUCGGGGCAGGGUGAGUCGACCCCUAAGGCGAGGCCGAAAGGCGUAGUCGAUGGGAAACAGGUUAAUAUUCCUGUACUUGGUGUUACUGCGAAGGGGGGACGGAGAAGGCUAUGUUGGCCGGGCGACGGUUGUCCCGGUUUAAGCGUGUAGGCUGGUUUUCCAGGCAAAUCCGGAAAAUCAAGGCUGAGGCGUGAUGACGAGGCACUACGGUGCUGAAGCGACAAAUGCCCUGCUUCCAGGAAAAGCCUCUAAGCAUCAGGUAACAUUAAAUCGUACCCCAAACCGACACAGGUGGUCAGGUAGAGAAUACCAAGGCGCUUGAGAGAACUCGGGUGAAGGAACUAGGCAAAAUGGUGCCGUAACUUCGGGAGAAGGCACGCUGAUAUGUAGGUGAAGCGACUUGCUCGUGGAGCUGAAAUCAGUCGAAGAUACCAGCUGGCUGCAACUGUUUAUUAAAAACACAGCACUGUGCAAACACGAAAGUGGACGUAUACGGUGUGACGCCUGCCCGGUGCCGGAAGGUUAAUUGAUGGGGUUAGCGGCAACGCGAAGCUCUUGAUCGAAGCCCCGGUAAACGGCGGCCGUAACUAUAACGGUCCUAAGGUAGCGAAAUUCCUUGUCGGGUAAGUUCCGACCUGCACGAAUGGCGUAAUGAUGGCCAGGCUGUCUCCACCCGAGACUCAGUGAAAUUGAACUCGCUGUGAAGAUGCAGUGUACCCGCGGCAAGACGGAAAGACCCCGUGAACCUUUACUAUAGCUUGACACUGAACAUUGAGCCUUGAUGUGUAGGAUAGGUGGGAGGCUUUGAAGUGUGGACGCCAGUCUGCAUGGAGCCGACCUUGAAAUACCACCCUUUAAUGUUUGAUGUUCUAACGUGGGCCCGUAAUCCGGGUUGCGGACAGUGUCUGGUGGGUAGUUUGACUGGGGCGGUCUCCUCCUAAAGAGUAACGGAGGAGCACGAAGGUUGGCUAAUCCUGGUCGGACAUCAGGAGGUUAGUGCAAUGGCAUAAGCCAGCUUGACUGCGAGCGUGACGGCGCGAGCAGGUGCGAAAGCAGGUCAUAGUGAUCCGGUGGUUCUGAAUGGAAGGGCCAUCGCUCAACGGAUAAAAGGUACUCCGGGGAUAACAGGCUGAUACCGCCCAAGAGUUCAUAUCGACGGCGGUGUUUGGCACCUCGAUGUCGGCUCAUCACAUCCUGGGGCUGAAGUAGGUCCCAAGGGUAUGGCUGUUCGCCAUUUAAAGUGGUACGCGAGCUGGGUUUAGAACGUCGUGAGACAGUUCGGUCCCUAUCUGCCGUGGGCGCUGGAGAACUGAGGGGGGCUGCUCCUAGUACGAGAGGACCGGAGUGGACGCAUCACUGGUGUUCGGGUUGUCAUGCCAAUGGCACUGCCCGGUAGCUAAAUGCGGAAGAGAUAAGUGCUGAAAGCAUCUAAGCACGAAACUUGCCCCGAGAUGAGUUCU